GAUGAACGCUAGCUACAGGCUUAACACAUGCAAGUCGAGGGGAAACGACAUCGAAAGCUUGCUUUUGAUGGGCGUCGACCGGCGCACGGGUGAGUAACGCGUAUCCCACCUGCCCAUCACUUGGGAAUAACCUUGCGAAAGUAAGACUAAUACCCAAUGAUAUCCCACGAAGGCAUCGGAAUGGGAUUAAAGAUUUAUCGGUGAUGGAUGGGGAUGCGUCUGAUUAGCUUGUUGGCGGGGUAACGGCCCACCAAGGCAACGAUCAGUAGGGGUUCUGAGAGGAAGGGCCCCCACAGUGGAACUGAGACACGGUCCAAACUCCUACGGGAGGCAGCAGUGAGGAAUAUUGGUCAAUGGGCGAGAGCCUGAACCAGCCAAGUAGCGUGCAGGAAGACGGCCCUAUGGGUUGUAAACUGCUUUUAUAAGGGAAUAAAGUGGGUCACGUGUGACUUUUUGCAUGUACCUGAUGAAUAAGGACCGGCUAAUUCCGUG
rnacentral:rRNA from 1 species